UACGUAGGGUGCGAGCGUUGUCCGGAAUUAUUGGGCGUAAAGAGCUCGUAGGCGGUUUGUCGCGUCUGCUGUGAAAAUCCGGGGCUCAACCCCGGACGUGCAGUGGGUACGGGCAGACUAGAGUGUGGUAGGGGAGACUGGAAUUCCUGGUGUAGCGGUGAAAUGCGCAGAUAUCAGGAGGAACACCGAUGGCGAAGGCAGGUCUCUGGGCCGCUACUGACGCUGAGAAGCGAAAGCAUGGGGAGCGAACAGG
rnacentral:rRNA from 1 species